rnacentral:lncRNA from 1 species
GGUCUACAAAGAACUAAUAUAAUCAAAGAGUUUAAUAUUGUUCCGAACUCUUAUGGCCAAGUUAGUUUUCAUCUCAUGGAUCAGUUCCUGCGUUGUUCUGCAUUUUGAAUUAAAGAUUCUAGAGUUCCUCUCAUCCCACAAACCAUGGACCACGACCAUAGCCUCUUUUUCGAUCGCCGGUAGUGAGGUAUUCAUGUUAGGCCCCAUGAUCUGAGUAAUCUGUGUUUGGAUACUAUCAAGCUUCGCCCUAGCUUCCUGAACUCUUCUUUCCAGGCUACCUACUUCAUUUGCAGUAAAGCUGUUAGUGGACCCUUUCAUUUUGUCAAUUUUUGCCAUACUCUGUACAUUCCUCCUCCCUGCAGAUUUUGGUUCCAAAUGGCUUCGACACUUUGUGAGAAAUUGUCAUGUUCAGCUAAAAUAUUAAGAAACCUGAAAGGUUUCUGAUGCCCACCACCUGUGUUACUGUGCUCUAUAUGGAUAAGGGAAUGGUCUGAAAAUCCAUUCUCCCUAAAUUGAGCAGUGAGAGUCACAUAUUUCAUCAUUCAAUGAGCAUUGCAUAGUGAUCUAUCAAUCCUACUCCAGAAAUGACCAUUAGUCCAUGUAAAAUUUCUGCCGCUAGCCUUCAUAUUGGUAAGAUUUAGGGUAUCCAACACAUGUUGGAAGUCCCUAGUUUCAGCGUCUGCAACCUGUUGGCCCCAAGUUCUAUCUGUGUCAAAUAACGGGGCAAUAAAAUCCCCACAUAAACACCAUGGAUCAGUAAUGUU